GUCCUCUUCGGCCCCUAGGAAGCACAAGUUUGCACCCAAAGCCCCUCCUCGCAGAGGGCCCAAAUCCACCGCUCCCAAAACUGAAGUGGAUGACGAAGAUGGAGAAGCUGAGCAGGUCCAGCAUCUGCUUCGCCGCUUCAAUG